rnacentral:rRNA from 1 species
CCCCUAGAUGUUCUGGGCCGCACGCGCGCUACACUGAACAGUUCAACAAGUCUUAACCUUGGCCGAUAGGUCUGGGUAAUCUUUGAACGCUGUUCGUGAUUGGGAUAGACCUUUGCAAUUAUGGGUCUUCAACGAGGAAUUCCUAGUAAACGCAAGUCAUCAGCUUGCAUUGAUUACGUCCCUGCCCUUUGUACACACCGCCCGUCGCACCUACCGAUUGAACGUGCUGGUGAAGCGUUAGGACUGGCGCCGCGUGUCGGGUUCCCCUUCAACGGGGCGCCGGGAAUUUCGUUGAACCCUCCCGUUUAGAGGAAGGAGAAGUCGUAACA